UACGAAGGGGGCUAGCGUUGCUCGGAAUCACUGGGCGUAAAGCGCACGUAGGCGGACUCUUAAGUCAGGGGUGAAAUCCUGGAGCUCAACUCCAGAACUGCCUUUGAUACUGAAGAUCUUGAGUUCGGGAGAGGUGAGUGGAACUGCGGGUGUAGAGGUGAAAUUCGUAGAUAUUCGCAAGAACACCAGUGGCGAAGGCGGCUCACUGGCCCGAUACUGACGCUGAGGCACGAAAGCGUGGGGAGCAAACAGG
rnacentral:rRNA from 1 species